rnacentral:tRNA from 1 species
GCAGCGUUAGUCCAGCCUGGCUAAGACUCUGCCCUGCCACGGCAGUGACUCGGGUUCAAAUCCCGAACGUUGCA